rnacentral:rRNA from 1 species
AGAGUUUGAUCAUGGCUCAGGAUGAACGCUAGCGGCAGGCUUAAUACAUGCAAGUCGAGGGGCAGCAAGGGUAGCAAUACCUGUUGGCGACCGGCAAACGGGUGCGGAACACGUACGCAACCUUCCCGAAACUGGUGAAUAGCCCUCCGAAAGGAGGAUUAAUACACCGUAAGAUAAUUGAAUGGCAUCAUUUGGUUAUUAUAGCUCCGGCGGUUUUGGAUGGGCGUGCGCCUGAUUAGGUAGUUGGUAGGGUAACGGCCCACCAAGCCAACGAUCAGUAACUGGUGUGAGAGCACGACCAGUCACACGGGCACUGAGACACGGGCCCGACUCCUACGGGAGGCAGCAGUAAGGAAUAUUGGUCAAUGGACGCAAGUCUGAACCAGCCAUGCCGCGUGCAGGAUGAAGGCCCUCUGGGUUGUAAACUGCUUUUAUGGGGGACGAAAAAAGGGCAUUCUUGCUCACUUGACGGUACCCUAGGAAUAAGCACCGGCUAACUCCGUGCCAGCAGCCGCGGUAAUACGGAGGGUGCAAGCGUUAUCCGGAUUUACUGGGUUUAAAGGGUGCGUAGGUGGGUAGGUAAGUCAGUGGUGAAAUCUUCAAGCUUAACUUGGAAACUGCCAUUGAUACUAUUUAUCUUGAAUACUUUGGAGGUAAGCGGAAUAUGUCAUGUAGCGGUGAAAUGCUUAGAUAUGACAUAGAACACCAAUUGCGAAGGCAGCUUACUACACAGUUAUUGACACUGAGGCACGAAAGCGUGGGGAUCAAACAGGAUUAGAUACCCUGGUAGUCCACGCCCUAAACGAUGGAUACUCGACAUUAGCGAUACACAGUUAGUGUCUGAGCGAAAGCAUUAAGUAUCCCACCUGGGAAGUACGAUCGCAAGAUUGAAACUCAAAUGAAUUGACGG